rnacentral:rRNA from 1 species
UACAGAGGUGGCGAGCGUUAUUCGGAAUUAUUGGGCGUAAAGGGCGCGUAGGCGGCCUACUAAGUCGGACGUGAAAUCCCUCGGCUCAACCGAGGAACUGCGUCCGAUACUGGUGGGCUUGAAUCCGGGAGAGGGAUGUGGAAUUCCAGGUGUAGCGGUGAAAUGCGUAGAGAUGCGGAGGAACACCGAUGGCGAAGGCAGCCCCCUGGGCCAAUACUGACGCUCAGGCACGAAAGCGUGGGGAGCAAACAGG